CACGUAGGGGCCAAGCGUUGUCCGGAUUCAUUGGGCGUAAAGAGCUCGUAGGCGGUUCAGUCAGUCGGGUGUGAAAUCUCCGGGCUCAACUCGGAGGGGCCACCCGAUACUGCUGUGACUCGAGUCCGGUAGGGGAGUGGGGAAUUCCUGGUGUAGCGGUGAAAUGCGCAGAUAUCAGGAGGAACACCGGUGGCGAAGGCGCCACUCUGGGCCGGUACUGACGCUGAGGAGCGAAAGCGUGGGGAGCGAACAGG
rnacentral:rRNA from 1 species